CCUACGGGAGGCAGCAGUGAGGAAUAUUGGUCAAUGGACGAGAGUCUGAACCAGCCAAGUAGCGUGAAGGAUGACUGCCCUAUGGGUUGUAAACUUCUUUUAUAUGGGAAUAAAAUGUUCCACGUGUGGGAUUUUGUAUGUACCAUAUGAAUAAAGAACGGCUAACUCCGUGCCAGCAGCCGCGGUAAUACGGAGGAUCCGAGCGUGAUCCGGAUUUAUUGGGUUUAAAGGGAGAGUAGGUGGAUUGUUAAGUCAGUUGUGAAAGUUUGCGGCUCAACCGUAAAAUUGCAGUUGAAACUGGCAGUCGUGAGUACAGUAAAGGUGGGCGGAAUUCGUGGUGUAGCGGUGAAAUGCUUAGAUAUCACGAAGAACUCCGAUUGCGAAGGCAGCUCACUGGACUGCAACUGACACUGAGGCUCGAAAGUGUGGGUAUCAAACAGGAUUAGAUACCCCUGUAGUC
rnacentral:rRNA from 1 species